GAUGAAGAAAAACAGCGCUGUACAAGUCGAAGCCAUCCUAAACUGGGUAAUUAUUGAGAGAACGCAGAGUCCUGUGCGGGAGGGUAUAAUGCUUUAAUUUUUGUCUUUAUUUGGCUGAUUUACAUACAGAUUAUCCUAAGUAAUUAAUUUACAGGUAAUAUGAAUUUUAUACAGAGUCUAAUAAUUAAUCGCUCCGUUUCCCUUGCUUCGGGACAAUUCACACUGUUAACUUUAAUGGAAAACGGCACUUGAAAUUUUCAGUGCCCUCCAGUUACAAUAACAAUACAAGAAACUCUGUUAUCUGAUAACACUUCACUAAAAUACAUAUAUGUUGGGAAAUGGGUACUAGCAAUAUCCAGCAUUCCAAGUUAACUUUAGCUGAACUAAAUUGACGUUUUUUUUUAACUGAUGCUAUCUGUAAGUCUGUGGUUUUGAGUACUAUAAAUAAAGCAAUUGUGCAUUAAAACUGAAUCCUUCUCCCCUGAGGAGUAGUUUCAGACUUUAGCGAUUCGUGCAGCGAACUUCUGGAGACUACUUAGCGGAAAUUGGAAACGUGUUAUCUUCUAUUACAAGAAGGACAUGCGUAACUAGCUGCUAAUCGUGUCUUCCAUGAUUAAACGUCUGUGACACAUGAUGCAUGUUAUAAUAUUUGGAGAUUCCAGAAAAUCAGGUUCCGUCAUUUGGUUUUCUUUUCCUUCAAGAACUUUCUCUGUGACUGGAGAUUUGGACUGAGAACCCCAAAAUACAGUAUAUGAUACUGGUAUGAAAUUUCUUUGAAGCAAAGGAAGAAACAAAGAAAAGAUGCCAAACAGCUGAGCAAAUUAUAUAACAGGCUUCUGAAGAUGCUGGAAAUCUUGAACACCACACACAGUAUGCUGGAGGAACUCAGCAAGUCAGCAGCUGUGGUGGAGAACCAACAGUCGAUGUUUCGGGCCAAGACCUUUCAUUCGACGGUAUUAUUUGGGAUCCCUAUUCGCCCUGAGGUGCUCCAGUAGGGGAAGCCACAAUGAGCAUUAGCAUAAGGAAAUAGAAUCUGGACUUCCUAUUAAAGCAUCCUAUUAAAAUAGUGGACUGGUUCAGAGCAUCUGUGGAUACUAUGAUCACAGAGGAAGAGGAAGGGAUGAUUGGACGAAGCAUGAGUAAAUGCUCAGUCUCCCACAUCCAAAAGAUAUGUAGCUACUGUAAAUUGCCCCAGGUGUGUAGGCAGUCCUUUGGAUCAAUGAUGUCAUGCUACCCUCUGGUUCUGUGAGUUCUGAGGUGGGCUAAUGAAGCCAAAAAGUGGGACCUGCAGACACUUUCCCAAAUAGGGCAGAAAUUGGUUGCUGUGGCAGGAAGAAGCUUGUGCAAGGGAGAGGCGUCCAGAAACUCUCAGGAAAACGGAGGGACGUUUCCAGAAAUAACAUCCUUUCUAUGAAAGUUUGCAAAUGCCAAAUCCAAUUCGUUCAUUCUUCCUGUUCCCUUUUAUAUUUUAAGCGUUCUUAUAAUAACAGUGAAAUUUCCCUUUAAGUCAUAACUGAUACCGUGACGGCUGCUUUCAGAUGCAUUGUUGAAACGAUAAAAUGAGAAAUAAAUUUGGGUCCGUUCCCGUUA